AUUGAACGCUGGCGGCAUGCCUUACACAUGCAAGUCGAACGGCAGCAUGGAGAGCUUGCUCUCUGAUGGCGAGUGGCGAACGGGUGAGUAAUGCAUCGGAACGUACCGUGUAAUGGGGGAUAACGUAGCGAAAGUUACGCUAAUACCGCAUACGACCUGAGGGUGAAAGCAGGGGAUCGCAAGACCUUGCGUUAUACGAGCGGCCGAUGUCAGAUUAGCUAGUUGGUGAGGUAAAGGCUCACCAAGGCGACGAUCUGUAGCGGGUCUGAGAGGAGGAACCGCCACACUGGGACUGAGACACGGCCCAGACUCCUACGGGAGGCAGCAGUGGGGAAUUUUGGACAAUGGGGGCAACCCGGAUCCAGCCAUGCCGCGUGAGUGAAGAAGGCCUUCGGGUUGUAAAGCUCUUUCGGCCGGGAAGAAAUCGCACAGGCUAAUACUCUGUGUGGAUGACGGUACCGGCAUAAGAAGCACCGGCUAACUACGUGCCAGCAGCCGCCGUAA
rnacentral:rRNA from 1 species